rnacentral:rRNA from 1 species
GUAGGGAAUCUUGCGCAAUGGGCGAAAGCCUGACGCAGCCAUGCCGCGUGAAUGAUGAAGGUCUUAGGAUUGUAAAAUUCUUUCACCGGGGACGAUAAUGACGGUACCCGGAGAAGAAGCCCCGGCUAACUUCGUGCCAGCAGCCGCGGUAAUACGAAGGGGGCUAGCGUUGCUCGGAAUUACUGGGCGUAAAGGGAGCGUAGGCGGAUAGUUUAGUCAGAGGUGAAAGCCCAGGGCUCAACCUUGGAAUUGCCUUUGAUACUGGCUAUCUUGAGUAUGGAUGAGGUAUGUGGAACUCCGAGUGUAGAGGUGAAAUUCGUAGAUAUUCGGAAGAACACCAGUGGCGAAGGCGACAUACUGGUCCAUUACUGACGCUGAGGCUCGAAAGCGUGGGGAGCAAACAGGAUUAGAAACCCCAGUAGUCC